GCUGCGAUGGCUGAGUGGUUAAGGCGUUUGACUAGAAAUCAAAUGGGAUCUUCCCGCGUAGGUUCGAAUCCUAUUCGCAGCG
rnacentral:tRNA from 1 species